rnacentral:rRNA from 1 species
AGCGGCGGACGGGUGAGUAACACGUGGGUAACCUGCCUGUAAGACUGGGAUAACUCCGGGAAACCGGGGCUAAUACCGGAUGCUUGUUUGAACCGCAUGGUUCAAACAUAAAAGGUGGCUUCGGCUACCACUUACAGAUGGACCCGCGGCGCAUUAGCUAGUUGGUGAGGUAAUGGCUCACCAAGGCAACGAUGCGUAGCCGACCUGAGAGGGUGAUCGGCCACACUGGGACUGAGACACGGCCCAGACUCCUACGGGAGGCAGCAGUAGGGAAUCUUCCGCAAUGGACGAAAGUCUGACGGAGCAACGCCGCGUGAGUGAUGAAGGUUUUCGGAUCGUAAAGCUCUGUUGUUAGGGAAGAACAAGUACCGUUCGAAUAGGGCGGUACCUUGACGGUACCUAACCAGAAAGCCACGGCUAACUACGUGCCAGCAGCCGCGGUAAUACGUAGGUGGCAAGCGUUGUCCGGAAUUAUUGGGCGUAAAGGGCUCGCAGGCGGUUCCUUAAGUCUGAUGUGAAAGCCCCCGGCUCAACCGGGGAGGGUCAUUGGAAACUGGGGAACUUGAGUGCAGAAGAGGAGAGUGGAAUUCCACGUGUAGCGGUGAAAUGCGUAGAGAUGUGGAGGAACACCAGUGGCGAAGGCGACUCUCUGGUCUGUAACUGACGCUGAGGAGCGAAAGCGUGGGGAGCGAACAGGAUUAGAUACCCUGGUAGUCCACGCCGUACGAUGAGUGCUAAGUGUUAGGGGGUUUCCGCCCCUUAGUGCUGCAGCUAACGCAUUAAGCACUCCGCCUGGGGAGUACGGUCGCAAGACUGAAACUCAAAGGAAUUGACGGGGGCCCGCACAAGCGGUGGAGCAUGUGGUUUAAUUUCGAAGCAACGCGAAGAACCUUACCAGGUCUUGACAUCCUCUGACAAUCCUAGAGAUAGGACGUCCCCUUCGGGGGCAGAGUGACAGGGUGCAUGGUGUCGUCAGCUCGGUCGUGAGAUGUUGGGUUAAGUCCCGCACGAGCGCACCCUGAUCUUAUUGCCAGCAUUCAGUUGGGCUAAGGGACUGCCGGAAACCCGGAGAAGGGGGGA